AGUGAACGCUGGCGGUAGGCCUAACACAUGCAAGUCGAACGGCAGCACAGUAAGAGCUUGCUCUGACGGGUUGCGGGUGGCGGACGGAUGAGGAAUACAUCGGAAUCUACUUUUUCGUGGGGGAUAACGUAGGGAAACUUACGCUAAUACCGCAUACUACCUACGGGUGAAAUCAUGGUAUCUUCUGACCAUUCGCGAUUGAAUGAGCCGAGGUCGGAUUGGAUAGUUGGCGGGGUAAGGGCCCACCAAGGCGACGAUCCGUAGCGGAUCUGAGAGGAGGAGCUGACCCACUGGAUCUGAGCCACGGUCCAGCCCACUACGGGAGGCAGCAGUGCGGAAUAUUGGACAAUGCGAGCAAGCCUGCCCCAGCCAUACCGCGUGGGUGAAGAAGGCCCUCGGGUCGUAAAGUCAUACUGUUGGGAAAGAAAAGCAGCAUGUUAAUACCACGCUGUUCUGACGGUACCUAAAGAAUAAGCAACGGCUAACUUCGUG
rnacentral:rRNA from 1 species